UGUUCCUCAGGUUGCUGAACUCUUCACUGAUAACUUCGACUAUCAGACCAGGAAUGACUUCUUCCGUGGGAUUCUCGUCAACGAGCAGUUCAGAGCACUUACACACUUCACGUGCUAGUAACUUUAUUCAGCUUUUUCAUCAUGCUAGCCAGAGUUAGCAGUUUUGUACAGAGUAAACUGUAUGAAUAAACAACUGGUUAUAGUAGCAUGUAGCAGUGUGUUUUCACUGAUUUUCCUGUUAGAUUUUGGGGAAUCAGAUCCACAUCUUUUUGAGUAAAGAUGGCUACGGCGCGCGCGUCUCCAACCUGCACAUGUACGACUGGGCGUAUCCCAUCACCCCUGAAGCUAACUUCUCAGAUGAAGAGGGGCGGAGCUGCACACACUCACGCCACAACGUUUGCCGUGAAAUGGGCGUCGGCCUGGGACACGGCAGUUUGAUGGAGGAGAACGUUCUGAUUGGACGAAACACGGUGAUCUGCGCCAACUGCAGUCUGUCAAACACUGUGAUUGAGGAUAACUGUUUCAUCGGUAACACUUCCUGCUUCAACCUCACUUCCUGUUUCACUCUCGCUUGGGUUUUUCUCUCUGACGUGUGUGUCUGUGUGUAUGUAUGUGUGUGAGUGCGUGCAUAUGUGUAUCUGUGUGUCUCCUAGGUGAUGGCGUGGUGUUGGAUCGAUUUGUAUUGGUGACGGUUCUUCAGUCUGUGAUCUGUGAUGGAGUGAAGCGUAUAACCCAGCUGAGGUGGGCUCUGAGGGGUGGGGCUACCUGUGGAAGAACAGCAGCAUUGACGAUGUGGAUGAGUAGAAGCUAACACAGUGCAUUUGGGGUCUGGUUAUAAAGUCUGAUCCUGAGAGUGAGACAGAGAGCGAGGCCAGUGAAGGGUCACACGAUCCUGGGAGUUGUGUCCUGGGAGUUGUUGAGAUCCCGGGCUGUGUCCCAAAUCACGAAACAUUGUGCCAUGGUUACUAUGACGACAGACUGUUUUUUUUAUACACUGCUUGCUGAAACCUAAGUGCCAGCGCAUUUUGCACUCUUUAGACACGUAGUGAAGGAAACGUUAUGUUUGGGACAUGGCCAAUGGGAACAGAUUGUUGCCAUGGUAACUGUCAGUAUUCACAUGCAGUUUAUGGUGUACUCUGUAGACACUUUGUGUUGGUGUCACUUCGUUCUUGGUGGACUGUUGUCAUGGUAACCGCACACUCUGUUGCAGAAAUUUUUUAUUAGCUAACAUACAAUAACUGUACAUAUCGGACACAAUGGACUUAUAACUAUAUUACAGUUUUAGAAUAUCUAUAAUAUGCAGACUGUUUUAUGAAGGUAGUGUAAUGUGAUUUGGGAGGUAACACUGUUGUCAUGGUGAUCACAGUGGUUAGGGUUGAAUGAAUAGUUAGCAGACCUGCCAACCUUUACGCAUUUUGUGUAGCAUAUACGCAUUUAGACAUCAAAGUACGCUGCUACGAUUUGUCACUUCAAAAUACGCAUUGUAAAAAACCAUUGAUGCCUUUGAGUUCAACUGUCUGUGCAUUUGCGCACCAGGCAAUGCGCCUAUGGGUGUAACCGCAUUGGGCAGCAACCUGGGAAAAUAAUAAUUCGACCAAUCAUAGCGCCAGUUUAAAACUUCAACGCUACAAGCGGAGAGCCGUCAAAACAAAUGUGGUUUUCAUCUGUCUCUGUCCGUCUUCAAUUCUUCUUACAGUGACUGUUUUUUUUACAAGUGAGGACUUAACGUUUCAAAGGUAAAUGGCCAGAAUUGUGAAUUUCAUCCAUUUUAAUAAGCCUGCCGAACCACAGGCGUCGUUAGACUCCUUUACUGGGGCAUGUGCCCAAGUGUCCGGUGUUGUGCCUCAAGUUUAAGUUUUACUCACAGAUCAAGUUUUACUUUAUUUGCCAGUAUUUAUAUAGGAAACGUAAGUCAUGCCUGUAAACGCAUUGCCGUCGUACUUUAACGGAAAAGCCAAACUGGCGCGAGCACGCAGAAAUCAAUAUCCGCGAGCGUCUGUGUAUCCCUUUUAUAGCAGGCAGUCAUGCUAUACCAUGACGAAACUAAUGUAAUUUUUUAAAAUAUCAAUCGUAUUCUGACUCGAUUGUUACUGGCUCCUGUAGAUCACAUCUGAUGGACAUCAGAUUUUUUUGUGAAAAGCAGGGAAAUAGAAGCAGAAAGUAGAAAUGAUGAGGGAGGUAUUAUUAUAUGAUCAGCCAGUCAAAACCAUAGUGAAGUCUAGAGUCUUGCAUUAUUGCUGAGAAAAUUAACACAUGUAUGUGUUGUCAGAUAUGAAGUUACUGUUUAGUUCAUUAGAUCUAAUUUAUGGCAAUACAUAGAGUUGUUAAAAUAGUAUGCAGAUAUUAUACACAAACGAUCAUGCACAUAACGUUAUACUCUUUAUUUUAGUUGCUACUCAAAAGUAAAGUAAGUUGAGUAAGUUCAUUCAUUCAUUCAUUCAUUCAUUCAUUUUCUACCGCUUAUCCGAACAAGUCGGGUCACGGGGAGCCUGUGCCUAUCUCAGGCGUCAUCGGGCAUCAAGGCAGGAUACACCCUGGACGGAGUGCCAACCCAUCACAAAGCACACACACUCUCAUUCAGUUGAGU